CUCAGAUCUGGCUCUACGUUGUCCUCAUUGUACAUGCUGUGUGUAUUUGCCACGUACACAGCGCAUGCAAUGUGGACAUAAUGGAGCUCA
ensembl:miRNA